CCUACGGGAGGCAGCAGUGGGGAAUAUUGCACAAUGGGCGAAAGCCUGAUGCAGCAACGCCGCGUGAGCGAUGAAGGCCUUCGGGUUGUAAAGCUCUUUCCUCAGGGAAGAUAAUGACGGUACUUGAGUAGUAAGCCCCGGCUAACUACGGUCCAGCAGCCGCGGUAAUACGUAGGGGGCUAGCGUUAUCCGGAUUUACUGGGCGUAAAGGGUGCGUAGGGGGUUUGUUAAGGCAGAUGUGAAAGGCUGAGGCCUAACCCAUAGAAUGCAUUUGAAACUGUGAAUCUUGAGUUCCGGAGAGGUAGGCGGAAUUCCUAGUGUAGCGGUGAAAUGCGUAGAUAUUAGGAGGAACACCAGUUGCGAAGGCGGCUUACUGGACUGUCACUGACACUGAGGCACGAAAGCGUGGGGAGCAAACAGGAUUAGAUACCCUUGUAGUC
rnacentral:rRNA from 1 species